rnacentral:rRNA from 1 species
AUUGAACGCUGGCGGCAUGCUUUACACAUGCAAGUCGAACGGCAGCACGAGUGCUUGCACUUGGUGGCGAGUGGCGAACGGGUGAGUAAUGCAUCGGAACGUACCUUUCAGUGGGGGAUAACGUAGCGAAAGUUACGCUAAUACCGCAUAUUCUGUGAGCAGGAAAGCAGGGGAUCGCAAGACCUUGCGCUGAUUGAGCGGCCGAUGUCAGAUUAGCUAGUUGGUGAGGUAAAGGCUCACCAAGGCGACGAUCUGUAGCGGGUCUGAGAGGAUGAUCCGCCACACUGGAACUGAGACACGGUCCAGACUCCUACGGGAGGCAGCAGUGGGGGAAUUUUGGACAAUGGGGGCAACCCUGAUCCAGCCAUGCCGCGUGAGUGAAGAAGGC